UAUAGACCAAAAUUGAACCGAUCUAUUUCAAAUAUGAAUAUGAGAGAUGCAUCCAUCAAAGCCAAACGUCUGCCGAGUUCAAAACCAUGUGGGGUGCACUUAUCAAGAAAUAUGAGCUGAAGGAGAAUGCUUGGCUUAGAGAAAUGUAUGAAAAGCCUGAAAGCUGGGUGCCCCUGUAUCUACGGCGAAAAUUUUUGCUGGCAUCCCCAUAAGUGAAAGUUUGGAAUCAUUCUUUGGUACAUUCUUGAAUGCUCAAACACCACUUGCAGAAUUUAUUUCACGAUACGAGCAAGGCCUUGCACAACGUCGUGAUGAGGAGAGAAAAGAGGUUUUUAGUUGUUAUAAUUUGCAGGCUUUUCUGCAUGCAAAAGAACCAGUAGAAGAACAGUGCAGAAGGCUCUAUACGUUGACAGCAUUCAAAAUUUUUCAAAAUGAACUGCUACAGAGCUAUAACUAUCUAGGGAUAAAGACUUAUGAAGAAGGGACCAUUUGCCGAUAUUCAGUGCGGAGGUGUGGGAAUGGGGUUGAGAAACAUGCUGUUACCUUCAGUGCAGCCAAUCUCAAUGUGUGUUGUAGCUGUCAAAUGUUUGAAUUUGAGGGUAUUCUGUAUAGACACAUUUUAAUAGUCUUCAAUAUGUUGGACAUAAGGGAAUUUCCACCUUGCUAUAUCUUACACAGGUGGACGAAAAAUGCUGAGUAUGGGACUAUUAGGGAUAUUGAAUCUGGUGUUAGCCCUCAAGAACUCAAGUCCUUAAUCUUUUGGAGUUUGAGAGUAACAGCGUGUAAAUUUGUAAGGCUGGGACAACAUCUAUUGAAAAAUACAAAAUCGGAUAUGAGAUUAUGCGAGAAGGUGGAAUAAAACUUUGCUGGCAAAGGUAGGCAGUGGGGACAAAGGUCAGAUGUCAUUAUAGAGCUAAAUUUUGUAGUUUUAAGUAUUUUGUAUAUAUAUCAUGUACAUUUUUCAAAAAAAUUUAGACAGUGUGACUGAGGACUUUGACUUGCAAAUGGAUAAUGAUGUAUUUCGAAUCUGUUUUUGAAUUGGAGUUCUGAUUCUUAAAUCACUUCAUGCUCCUUGCUAGAUAAUAUCAUGGCAAUUGAGAGUAGUUUUUAAAAAAAUAAAUAAGUCCUCAUCUAAUAUUAUGCUCUUUUGUUGCUUUCCUGAAUGAAGGCUCAUGGGUAGACCUGGCCACUGGUCCUAGAGGGUUCAAGACAGUUUAGGCCUUAGGGCCGCCUUCAGUCUGAUUCAUUGACAGUUACACAUGAUCUGGUUUGGAGCUUCAUUUACAGAGCAACGUAGACAAAUGCACGUCUCACUGCAAAUGCAGAUACAUUUGCUCCCAUCCAACUAAGAUUCAAUUGUAAAUGAGAGCUGCAUGUAAGAGCUCAUUCCAAGUAUCAGGAACACCAGGGAGGCACCAAUGGCUACAAUCUGCAGUGCGAUGACCUCUAAAGCCAUAAGCUGAAGGAUGGCCGUCUUUCCUCAUUUGUGAAAGGAUUUUAAUCCGUUAAUACUGGAAUCAUUCAAAAGAGAUAUUUAAAUGUUGAUAGAGAUCGUACGGUUGCUUUCUUCCAGUGUGAAGCCACCAAUGCCAUGUGUUAAAGAUAAGUGCAUCAACUCUUCU